AUGCAAAUAAUUUCCAUUGAUGAUGAUCAGUUUAGAAACUUCACGUCAUUUUAAGAAUCUUUUUAGCUUAUUACAUUGUUCUAACAUACUAAUAUGUGUAAAGAACUUAUCGAAAACAGAGUAAUAGACUGUAUUCUGCACAUGACAUUUAUCACCUGCUUGGUACUGAAUUUUGGAGGGAGCUGGACAGUACAUAUAAAACUAUGUAGGAAAAACUGUUUCUUGCACAUUUAUAUAGAUUGUGAUAUAAUUGCAUUGUUUGUUACUUUGUUUGCAUCAGGUUAGUUAAUAGGUCUGUGCAAAUCAAUUCUUGCAACCACCUAUCUACUCUCUGACCUGGUUCUAUAAAUAUCGAUGUUUGUGCUCAGUAUAAGCACACCAUCUCCUUUGGUAGUUCCAGUUGAGCAGAUCAUUUUCAGCUUGCAGGGUUGUCAUCAGUUUCCUCAUUGGUGCCCUCAAUGGAUAGAGCGUCUCAGUGGAGCUGCUGAAGCUAGAUGCUCAACCUGCACAUGAGUGAGUGCUCGUGGAAGCGCGCUGCAAACAUGUCGAUGGUGGCUGCUGAAGCUUGACUUUGGCAACGAGUCCAGGUGGCCAUUGGCACAGACAUGUCAUCCGUGAGCUUUAGUUCCAGGCGAGAUUCCAAGAGAAAUGUUCCCUUGCUUUGGUUGGAUGGGUGUAGGAGCAGCAAGCAUCGCCGCCACACGGAAAACUCCAGUAACUUCUUGCCCCUUCCAGCCUCGGUGAGAUGGCAUCGUAUUUUUUGAUCACGAACGACUUCAAGCUGAAGAUGUUGAACCAUGCGAUGCAAGAAUUAUUAUUUUGGGCUCCUAUGGAAGAUUUAUGCUCUUCCUGUUGUAUUCAGUCAAGGAACGUACAUAGAUAUUGGAAGCUAUACACUAUAAUGGAAUUUCUUCUGCUCUCACUCAUGUAAUUGCUGUCAAGAACACUGUCAGUUCAGCGGUUGUCAUCAUGCAAGCAAUUGGCCGCUGAUCUGCUUGCUCUUUGUACUACUAAAGGUGGCAUCAUACGGCGAAGCAGGGGAUAUGGAUCAGAAGCCGCAAUGGUGCGCGUGACGACAUGUCUAACACUUGCCUGACCCUGGACUCUGGCUUCUUCUUUCAAGUUGACCAUACUAUUGUGAGAAUCUCGGCCAGGAUCAUUCUUUAUAUCAUGUUGGAUCAUCUUGGAAUUUGUAGAGUAAUUUAUCGUCUAAGGAUGUACUCACAGAACACAAUCAGUGUGGUUGUGCUUUUCUACACUUCUGUCCAGAGCAAUGGGAUAUGUAUUCUGUACUGUACGGCUACCCUCUAAUGCAUUUCUCAGACUUCAGUCUCUCUCUUUCUGCACAAAUGACUUGGUCUAAUUAUUAUGAAAGACCUGUGGAGUGUGUUGCUUUCUAUAUAAACAACUCGCUCUAAUUCUGAUUUAUCAUAUUGCAUAGCUUUUGAUA